rnacentral:lncRNA from 1 species
UUCUUCCAGCCUUAAGAACCCUUGUUUUUUUCUUUUUUUUUUGCUUUGGUUACAUGGCUCUUUCUUGUUGAUGUUAUUAAAAGCCAGGUGGUACAUGACCCUGUAGAUGGAUUCAAACUGUUUUCAGAUAUGGUUUUGUUUAUGGAAAUGAAUUGUGAUUGAUCCCUGUAAGUUGAAAUAAUUUGGGCUCAUACUACAUGAUCCGACAGCAUGCAACUCAAUCUCAUAUAAUGGAAAAGAGAAUUGAAGCUUGCAGCUAUAAGUAGAUGCACAUGCCAACGAACCAUUUAUUUUUAUUUAGUUUUGAAGAGAUUUGAGGUCUAUCUAUGGUACCGUGGUCUCUACCCUUCUACUGCAAUCUAACCACCGUUGAUGCCCUAGAAAAAGUUUAGCACCGUUGAGUAACAGACCUGGCUAGGCUGGGCGAAGAACCUGACGAUCUGCUGAAGUACAGAUGCGAGUGGAUUCAGGCUCCGUUCCCCAGUCGGCCUGUGCCUCCGGCAGUUUCGCGGUUGCACAUCUCGGCGGAACCGCAGUCUGCGGAGGAGCAAGGUAUUCGCCUCGCGCAAUAGCGGCCGGCAGCGAGCUGCGGCCUGAGGCUGCGG